GUAGUUGGAUCUUGGGAGCGGGCGGGCGGUCCGCCGCGAGGCGAGCCACCGCCCGUCCCCGCCCCUUGCCUCUCGGCGCCCCCUCGAUGCUCUUAGCUGAGUGUCCCGCGGGGCCCGAAGCGUUUACUUUGAAAAAAUUAGAGUGUUCAAAGCAGGCCCGAGCCGCCUGGAUACCGCAGCUAGGAAUAAUGGAAUAGGACCGCGGUUCUAUUUUGUUGGUUUUCGGAACUGAGGCCAUGAUUAAGAGGGACGGCCGGGGGCAUUCGUAUUGCGCCGCUAGAGGUGAAAUUCUUGGACCGGCGCAAGACGGACCAGAGCGAAAGCAUUUGCCAAGAAUGUUUUCAUUAAUCNN
rnacentral:ncRNA from 1 species